AGAGUUUGAUCAUGGCUCAGAUUGAACGCUGGCGGCAGGCCUAACACAUGCAAGUCGAGCGGUAGCACAGAGAGCUUGCUCUCGGGUGACGAGCGGCGGACGGGUGAGUAAUGUCUGGGAAACUGCCUGAUGGAGGGGGAUAACUACUGGAAACGGUAGCUAAUACCGCAUAACGUCGCAAGACCAAAGUGGGGGACCUUCGGGCCUCAUGCCAUCAGAUGUGCCCAGAUGGGAUUAGCUAGUAGGUGGGGUAACGGCUCACCUAGGCGACGAUCCCUAGCUGGUCUGAGAGGAUGACCAGCCACACUGGAACUGAGACACGGUCCAGACUCCUACGGGAGGCAGCAGUGGGGAAUAUUGCACAAUGGGCGCAAGCCUGAUGCAGCCAUGCCGCGUGUGUGAAGAAGGCCUUCGGGUUGUAAAGCACUUUCAGCGGGGAGGAAGGCGUUAAGGUUAAUAACCUUGUCGAUUGACGUUACCCGCAGAAGAAGCACCGGCUAACUCCGUGCCAGCAGCCGCGGUAAUACGGAGGGUGCAAGCGUUAAUCGGAAUUACUGGGCGUAAAGCGCACGCAGGCGGUCUGUCAAGUCGGAUGUGAAAUCCCCGGGCUCAACCUGGGAACUGCAUUCGAAACUGGCAGGCUAGAGUCUUGUAGAGGGGGGUAGAAUUCCAGGUGUAGCGGUGAAAUGCGUAGAGAUCUGGAGGAAUACCGGUGGCGAAGGCGGCCCCCUGGACAAAGACUGACGCUCAGGUGCGAAAGCGUGGGGAGCAAACAGGAUUAGAUACCCUGGUAGUCCACGCCGUAAACGAUGUCGAUUUGGAGGUUGUGCCCUUGAGGCGUGGCUUCCGGAGCUAACGCGUUAAAUCGACCGCCUGGGGAGUACGGCCGCAAGGUUAAAACUCAAAUGAAUUGACGGGGGCCCGCACAAGCGGUGGAGCAUGUGGUUUAAUUCGAUGCAACGCGAAGAACCUUACCUGGUCUUGACAUCCACAGAACUUUCCAGAGAUGGAUUGGUGCCUUCGGGAACUGUGAGACAGGUGCUGCAUGGCUGUCGUCAGCUCGUGUUGUGAAAUGUUGGGUUAAGUCCCGCAACGAGCGCAACCCUUAUCCUUUGUUGCCAGCGGUUAGGCCGGGAACUCAAAGGAGACUGCCAGUGAUAAACUGGAGGAAGGUGGGGAUGACGUCAAGUCAUCAUGGCCCUUACGACCAGGGCUACACACGUGCUACAAUGGCAUAUACAAAGAGAAGCGACCUCGCGAGAGCAAGCGGACCUCAUAAAGUAUGUCGUAGUCCGGAUUGGAGUCUGCAACUCGACUCCAUGAAGUCGGAAUCGCUAGUAAUCGUAGAUCAGAAUGCUACGGUGAAUACGUUCCCGGGCCUUGUACACACCGCCCGUCACACCAUGGGAGUGGGUUGCAAAAGAAGUAGGUAGCUUAACCUUCGGGAGGGCGCUUACCACUUUGUGAUUCAUGACUGGGGUGAAGUCGUAACAAGGUAACCGUAGGGGAACCUGCGGUUGGAUCACCU
rnacentral:rRNA from 1 species